UACGUAGGUUGCAAGCGUUAUUCGGAUUUACUGGGCGUAAAGCGCACCGAGGUGGCUUCUUAAGUUGGAUGUAAAAUCUCCCGGCUUAACUGGGAGGCGCCAUUCAAUACUGAGGAGCUUGAGGUCAGCAGGGGAAGGUGGAAUUCCCGGUGUAGUGGUGGAAUGCGUAGAGAUCGGGAGGAACACCAGUGGCGAAAGCGACCUUCUGGGCUGCACCUGACACUCUAGUGCGAAAGCGUGGGGAGCAAAC
rnacentral:rRNA from 1 species